rnacentral:rRNA from 1 species
AUUGAACGCUGGCGGCAGGCCUAACACAUGCAAGUCGAGCGGAUGAAGGGAGCUUGCUUCUGGAUUCAGCGGCGGACGGGUGAGUAAUGCCUAGGAAUCUGCCUGGUAGUGGGGGACAACGUUUCGAAAGGAACGCUAAUACCGCAUACGUCCUACGGGAGAAAGCAGGGGACCUUCGGGCCUUGCGCUAUCAGAUGAGCCUAGGUCGGAUUAGCUAGUUGGUGAGGUAAUGGCUCACCAAGGCGACGAUCCGUAACUGGUCUGAGAGGAUGAUCAGUAACACUGGGACGGGGACACGGUCCAGAAUCCUACGGGGGGCAGCAGUGGGGAAUAUUGGACAAUGGGCGAAAGCCUGAUUCAGCCAUGCCGCGUGUGUGAAGAAGGUCUUCGGAUUGUAAAGCACUUUAAGUUGGGAGGAAGGGUUGUAGAUUAAUACUCCGCAAUUUUGACGUUACCGACAGAAUAAGCACCGGCUAACUCUGUGCCAGCCGCCGCAGUAAUAC